UACGAAGGGGGCUAGCGUUGCUCGGAAUCACUGGGCGUAAAGCGCACGUAGGCGGACUCUUAAGUCGGUGGUGAAAUCCUGGAGCUCAACUCCAGAACUGCCUUCGAUACUGGGAGUCUCGAGUUCGGGAGAGGUGAGUGGAACUGCGAGUGUAGAGGUGAAAUUCGUAGAUAUUCGCAAGAACACCAGUGGCGAAGGCGGCUCACUGGCCCGAUACUGACGCUGAGGCGCGAAAGCUAGGGGAGCAAACGGG
rnacentral:rRNA from 1 species